AUUAUUAGUAAAUAUUAUAACUACAGUUAUUAGUGGCUUAAAAUACCAGAAACACCCAAAAAUUGUCUUAGAAAACAUUUUUUUUUUUUUUUACCAAGAUCUGACAGCCAUUGUGGAAAGUUACGUUUGUGAGAUUGGAUGCUUAACAAUGAGAAUCUUAAUUGUUAAGUAUAUUUUUCAGUGGCUGUUGGGUUAGCUUAAGAUGAUUUGGAUUUUUUAUUAUUUCUAAAAGUGAGUUAAGAAAGCACUCCGAUACAAUAUUGAAUGUAUUUAUAUUUUAACUCUACCUUUGUAUAGGUGGUUUAUGUACCUUUAACCAUUACAAACCAAAUUACAUUUUCUUUGUAUUUGAAAAACUGAUAAAAUAUUUGAUUA